rnacentral:rRNA from 1 species
ACGCGGGGCAACCUGGCGACGAGUGGCGAACGGGUGAGUAAUACAUCGGAACGUGCCCAGUAGUGGGGGAUAGCCCGGCGAAAGCCGGAUUAAUACCGCAUACGACCUACGGGUGAAAGCGGGGGAUCGCAAGACCUCGCGCUAUUGGAGCGGCCGAUGUCAGAUUAGCUAGUUGGUGGGGUAAAAGCCUACCAAGGCGACGAUCUGUAGCUGGUCUGAGAGGACGACCAGCCACACUGGGACUGAGACACGGCCCAGACUCCUACGGGAGGCAGCAGUGGGGAAUUUUGGACAAUGGGGGCAACCCUGAUCCAGCCAUGCCGCGUGCGGGAAGAAGGCCUUCGGGUUGUAAACCGCUUUUGUCAGGGAAGAAACGGUCUGCGCUAAUACCGCGGACUAAUGACGGUACCUGAAGAAUAAGCACCGGCUAACUACGUGCCAGCAGCCGCGGUAAUACGUAGGGUGCAAGCGUUAAUCGGAAUUACUGGGCGUAAAGCGUGCGCAGGCGGCUUUGCAAGACAGAUGUGAAAUCCCCGGGCUCAACCUGGGAACUGCAUUUGUGACUGCAUGGCUAGAGUGCGGCAGAGGGGGAUGGAAUUCCGCGUGUAGCAGUGAAAUGCGUAGAUAUGCGGAGGAACACCGAUGGCGAAGGCAAUCCCCUGGGCCUGCACUGACGCUCAUGCACGAAGGCGUGGGGAGCAAACAGGA